GACGAACGCUGGCGGCGUGCCUAAUACAUGCAAGUAGAACGCAGUUGCGAACGGGUGAGUAACGCGUAGGUAACUGCCUCAUAGCGGGGGUCAAAGAUUGGAAACGAUAGCUAAUACCGCAUACUGCGAGAUGCACCUACGGUGGAUUAGGUAGUUGGUGAGGUAAAGGCUCACCAAGGCGACGACACAUAGCCGACCUGAGAGGGGGGUCGGGCACACUGGGACUGAGGAACUGCCCAGACUCCUACGGGAUGCAACAGUAGGGAAUCUUCGGGCAUGGGCGGAAGUCUGACCGAGCAACGCCGCGUGAGUGAAGGAGGUUUUCGGGUCGUAAAACCCUGUUGUUAGAGGAGCGGUAUCUAACCAGAAAGGGACGGCUAACUACGUGCCAGCAGCCGCGGUAAUAC
rnacentral:rRNA from 1 species